ensembl:lncRNA
GCCAACAAAAAACCUGGAAAUCAUUCAAAAGAAAUCUCUGAAAUCUCACUCUGACAGUUCCUCACCUCAGAUACAGCACAUCACUUGAGACCAUAGUUGGUUACUAAGGUACUAAUGUCACUGACCAGGUAGUUACUAAGUUACUGACCAGGGAGUUACUAAGGUCACUGACCAGGGAGUUACUAAAGUCACUGACCAGGUAGUUACUAAAGUCACUGACCAGGGAGUUACUAAAUUACUGUCCAGGGAGUUACUAAGUUACUGUCCAGGGAGUUACUAAGUUACUGACCAGGGAGUUACUAAGUUACUGUCCAGGGAGUUACUAAAGUCACUGACCAGGGAGUUACUAAGUUACUGUCCAGGGAGUUACUAAGUCACUGACCAGGGAGUUACUAAGUUACUGUCCAGGGAGUUACUAAAGUCACUGACCAGGGAGUUACUAAGUCACUGACCAGGGAGUUACUAAGUUACUGACCAGGGAGUUACUAAAUUACUAACCAGGGAGUUACUAAGUUACUGACCAGGUAGUUACUAAGGUCACUGACCAGAGAGUUACUAAGGUCACUAACCAGGUAGUUGCUAAGGUACUGACCAGGUAGUUACUAAGGUACUGAACAGGGAGGUACUAAGUUACUGACCAGGGUAUUACUAAGGUACUGACCAGGUAGUUACUAAGGUCACUAACCAGGGAGUUACUAAGGUCACUGACCAGGGAGUUACUAAGUUACUGAUCAGGUAGGUACUAAGUCACUGACCAGGGAGUUACUAAGGACACUGAUCAGGUGGUUACUAAGAUACUGACCAGGUAGGUACUAAGUUACUGACCAGGGAGUUACUAAGGUACUAAGGUCACUGACCAGGACAACAUUCUGGACAAACAAGUCCGAUCCCACGGAUCCACCUCGGUCGCAACUUACAGGACGUAAAGGAUCUGCCGCUAACGUCUCAGCGCCAGAUCCCACAGCACACCUUCGGAGGUCUUGUUGAGUCCGUACCUCGAGGUGUCGGAGCCGUUCUGGCACGAGGAGAGGCGGACCGCCC